UUCAUGUGCAAAAAAAGAAUU
rnacentral:piRNA from 1 species